AUAUUAUUAAGCGGAGGAAAAGAAAUUAACUAAGAUUGCCUUAGUAAGGGCGACUGAACCGGCAAGAGCUCAAAAUUGGAAUCGGGGAUUCAAAGAAUCUUCGAAUUGUAAUCAGGUUCCCUUAAAUACGAGAAUUUGUUUAACAACGUCGAAUCGUUGGCCAGGGAGGGUGAAAGCCCCGUGUAACUUUUUCUCGAGUAAAGGGGGCUCCACAAGAGUCGGGUUGCUUGGAACUGCAGCCCUAAGUGGGAGAUAUGAAUCUUCCAAAGCUAAAUAAGGAUGGGAGACCGAUAGCGCACAAGUA
rnacentral:rRNA from 1 species